UACGGAGGGUGCAAGCGUUAUCCGGAUUCACUGGGUUUAAAGGGUGCGUAGGCGGCCUUGUAAGUCAGUGCUGAAAUAUCCCAGCUUAACCGGGAGGGUGGCAUUGAUACUGCAGGGCUUGAGUAAAGUUGAGGUUGGCGGAAUUGACGGUGUAGCGGUGAAAUGCUUAGAUAUCGUCAAGAACACCGAUAGUGAAGACAGCUAACUAAGCUUUAACUGACGCUGAGGCACGAAAGUGUGGGGAUCAAACAGG
rnacentral:rRNA from 1 species